GAUGAAGAACGUAGCUAAAUGCGAUAAGUAGUGUGAAUUGCAGAAUUCAGUGAAUCAUCGAAUCUUUGAACGCACAUUGCGCCCCUUGGUAUCCCGAGGGGCAUGCCUGUUCGAGCGUCAUUUCACCACUCAAGCCUGGCUUGGUGUUGGGCGACGUCCUCUUUGGGGACGCGCCUCGAAACGCUCGGCGGCGUGGCACCGGCUUUAAGCGUAGCAGAAUCUUUCGCUUUGGAAGUCGGGGCCCCGUCUGCCGGAAGACCUGCUCGCAAGGUUGACCUCGGAUCAGGCAGGGAUACCCGCUGAACUUAAGCAUAUCAAUAAGCGGAGGA
rnacentral:misc_RNA from 1 species